UACGAAGGGGCUAGCGUUGCUCGGAGUUACUGGGCGUAAAGGGCGCGUAGGCGGCGAUCCAAGUUAGGCGUGAAAGCCCCGGGCUUAACCUGGGAAUUGCGCUUAAGACUGGACUGCUUGAGUGCGGGAGAGGUGAGUGGAAUUCCCAGUGUAGAGGUGAAAUUCGUAGAUAUUGGGAAGAACACCAGUGGCGAAGGCGGACUCACUGGCCCGCAACUGACGCUGAGGCGCGAAAGCGUGGGGAGCAAACAGG
rnacentral:rRNA from 1 species